GGGCCGUUAGCUCAAUUGGUAGAGCGUUCGCAUGGCAUGCGAAAGGUAGCGGGUUCGAAUCCCGCACGGUCCACCA
rnacentral:tRNA from 1 species